UACGAUGAGUGACUUCACAUA
ensembl:piRNA 21ur-3087 ncRNA